UACGGGGGGGGCAAGCGUUGUUCGGAAUUACUGGGCGUAAAGGGCUCGUAGGCGGCCAACUAAGUCAGACGUGAAAUCCCUCGGCUUAACCGGGGAACUGCGUCUGAUACUGGAUGGCUUGAGGUUGGGAGAGGGAUGCGGAAUUCCAGGUGUAGCGGUGAAAUGCGUAGAUAUCUGGAGGAACGCCGGUGGCGAAAGCGACACACUGGACCUUGUCUGACGCUGAGGCACGAAAGCCAGGGGAGCAAACGGG
rnacentral:rRNA from 1 species